rnacentral:rRNA from 1 species
GCCUAAAGCGUCCGUAGCCGGCUCUGUAAGUUUUCGGUUAAAUCCAUAUGCUCAACAUAUGGGCCGCCGGGAAUACUGCAUAGCUAGGGAGUGGGAGAGGUAGACGGUACUCCGUAGGAAGGGGUAAAAUCCUUUGAUCUCUCGAUGACCACCUGUGGCGAAGGCGGUCUACCAGAACACGUCCGACGGUGAGGGAUGAAAGCUGGGGGAGCAAACCGGAUUAGAUACCCGGGUAGUCCCAGCUGUAAACUAUGCAAACUCAGUGAUGCAUUGGCUUGAUGCCAAUGCAGUGUUGCAGGGAAGCCGUUAAGUUUGCCGCCUGGGAAGUACGUACGCAAGUAUGAAACUUAAAGGAAUUGGCGGGGGAGCACCACAAGGGGUGAAGCCUGCGGUUCAAUUGGAGUCAACGCCAGAAAUCUUACCCGGAGAGACAGCAGAAUGAAGGUCAAGCUGAAGACUUUACCAGACAAGCUGAGAGGUGGUGCAUGGCCGUCGCCAGCUCGUGCCGUGAGAUGUCCUGUUAAGUCAGGUAACGAGCGAGAUCCUUGCCUCUAGUUGCCACCAUUACUCUCAGGAGUAGUGGGGCGAAUUAGCGGGACCGCCGUAGUUAAUACGGAGGAAGGAAGGGGCCACGGCAGGUCAGUAUGCCCCGAA